UGUGCCGCCACCACUAACAUCAGUACCGGCAUCAACAGUAUAACAAUAAUAACAACAACAACAAAAAUAAGAACACCGCGCUGCUGCUAUACAGAAGACGUUAAUGUCGUCAUUCACAAUUCAAUAUCAGCUCUUUGACGUGUAGAUGGGCGAACGAACGGACGGACGUAAGGAAUGGUGCGCGGCAUCGCUGUAGGUCGUCUGUUGGAAGUCGCCAACUGGUUGGCGGUUCGCUUACUUGCUUGUUCGCGACUCACGGUUCGCGACCACCCACAAUGCUUCCGAUUAAGGGAAGCGCACACAUAUGCAUGUAUACAAAUACACAUAUACAUACAUAUGUAAAUAUGUAUGCUUAUAUUCUACUCCACACACACACACACGACAGCAACGGCAUCGACGACGUUGGAGCUAAGUGCCGAAUGCUAAACGAAAUUCGCCGCAGCAUUGAUAAAUGGUUAUCAUAAAUUUGCGAACUUGAUGCAGGCAAAAUCGGCAAAAUCAACAGUCUACAGUCAACAGUUAGGAGUCGGACGACGGCGUGUCCCCGAUCGAUGCACGGCGUUGUGGUGGGUCCAUCGGACCAUCGUCGUGGUGACGCUGCUCUGACUGCGAGUACGGUUAAUUCAAUACCGAAUAUAUUUGUAUGUUAAAUGGCAUUUGCGUGGACGGAAGGAAUGCUGGUAUUGAUUUGUAUUAUGACUUUGUUCAUUAAAAUGAAGCUUAAGUUGACUUUUUCGAAUACUUUUGUCUAAUUCCUAGUCGGUCACUUGGUGCUGAUAAGCACUAGUGAUUCAUUGAAUAGGAAUAACUCAUUUCAAAAUGUAGACCAGCAUUGCAAAUAUCAUUAGAUCAGAUCUGGAGAUCAGAUAUAAUAUUAUAAGGCACAUGAAGCGGUCAUACUGCCUCGAAUAUGAAUCUACUGUCUGGCAGAAAUCAUCUGUUACGUAGUACACUCAGUUUCCGGCCUUGCUUGAAGUUCAGAAGUAGUUCAUUGACGUGCCUACACCACUUGUAUAUGUAUAAAUAAAAAAUAAAAUGAUGGCCUAGCUUAUUUACGGAAAGAUAACACACCAAACACCGUUUACAAGACCAAGCUUCCGAAGAAAUCGGGCCCUAUCAAUUUAAGCAUUUUUAGGCGUAUUUCUGUGAAUGUCGAUUGUAAAAAUUCCCCAUAGAUGCAAAGUUAUGGUAGAAAAUGUAACUGCCCGACGAGGGUUUGAUGCGCACAGGUAGCUGUCCUUCGUUUGCACUUGAAAGUUUAAACUCGUUUUUCUCGGAACUACUUUUUCCGAUCCAUCAACAUUUCAAGGCGAAAUUAUGCAGACCGUGGAGCAAUUUUUUUUUCAUUGUACUUUGGGUCAAGUGAUUUUUUAUAUACUAAUUUUUGUAAAGAAAAAUUAAAAUAAAUUUUUUUAUAAACUCAAAUAUAAA